UACGUAGGGUGCAAGCGUUAAUCGGAAUUACUGGGCGUAAAGCGUGCGCAGGCGGCUUUGCAAGACAGAUGUGAAAUCCCCGGGCUCAACCUGGGAACUGCAUUUGUGACUGCAUCGCUGGAGUGCGGCAGAGGGGAUGGAAUUCCGCGUGUAGCAGUGAAAUGCGUAGAUAUGCGGAGGAACACCGAUGGCGAAGGCAAUCCCCUGGGCCUGCACUGACGCUCAUG
rnacentral:rRNA from 1 species